UACGUAGGGCGCAAGCGUUGUCCGGAAUUAUUGGGCGUAAAGAGCUCGUAGGUGGUUUGUCGUGUUGUUCGUGAAAACUCACAGCUUAACUGUGGGCGUGCGGGCGAUACGGGCAGACUUGAGUACUGCAGGGGAGACUGGAAUUCCUGGUGUAGCGGUGGAAUGCGCAGAUAUCAGGAGGAACACCGGUGGCGAAGGCGGGUCUCUGGGCAGUAACUGACGCUGAGGAGCGAAAGCGUGGGGAGCGAACAGG
rnacentral:rRNA from 1 species